ACAACGAAAGCAAAACAUUAGAUUAUGUCAGCAGAGUACCCAGCCAGAAAUAAUCAGUUUAUUUUCCUGUAAUAAUAGCUAAGUACAGAGUCAAUGUGUGGGGGUAGAGUUAAUUAAAGUGACUAUGCAUAGAUGACAACAGAGAGUGGCAGUGGUGUUGAGAGGGGAGGAUGGGGGGGCAAUGCAAAUAGUCUGGGUAGCCAUUUUAGUGAGCGGUAAUGAGGUGAGCAAUAAUGGUUGCAAUUGAGAUCAGCUGUGUGGGUGAAUUUGUUUAACGAGACAUCAGCUGGCGAUAAUAAGGAUGAGGCCUUUUGAGGCAGAAUGUCUAUGCAGGACGUCAAAAUCGGCAUGUCCAAAUUCCAUGUAACCUUUGCUGGGGAGGCUAUCCCAUAACACCUUGUGGCGCAGUGAAAAUGAAAAACAAAUAUUACAGUUAAUGGCUGACAGAAGUCCCAUUUUCUAGAAGAAUAAGCAAUAACAUUGCGAAACGUAAGUAUAACGUUUAUUUAUUCACCAAAUUAUCUAAACAUUUUCUACAAAUUACUUUCAUAUGAAUUGUGAAUUCAAAUGUUGAGUAAGUGGUGUUUAACACGUCGGCCACGAUAGCUAGCUAGCCAGCGAUUUCAUCCUGCUUAUUGGCUGUUUAGAGAUGAACAACUUAACUAUCUCAUUGUAGAUUCAGCAAUGAAUUGGUGAAUCAUGAAUUGGGGAACUUGCAGUUGAAGACAUAUAGUAAAUAGUUUUUCCCCAUUUGUUUUCAGAGACUAAAGUUGGCACCUGGCUUGGCAGGAGAAAACAGUCCUACCCGACUCUUUCGGAGGUUGAAGGACAUCCCACCCUGACAGCCUACAGAGAUGUAAAGAACUUGUGAACCUUCCAGCCACGAGGAUAAUCACCAUAUCCCAGGAUAUUAUUCAGCAUAUUUGUCACUGGUGUAGAGAGGAGUAGGCAGGAGGCAGUCACAAGUUUAGAACUACUUUAGGGAAGGCCCUAAAAAUUGUCAGAUUCCAGCCACCCUAGUCAAAGAUUGUUCUUUCUGCUAUCGCACGGCAAGCAGUACCGGAGCACCAAGUCUAGGUCCAAGAGGCUUCUAAACAGCUUCUACCCCCAAGCCAUAAGACUCCUGAAC
rnacentral:lncRNA from 1 species